UUUGCUUUCUCACAUUGUUGGAACGCAGGGACACUCGGCCUCCACAACGAGCGCAGAAUUUGGUUUGGCAGUAGGAGCAGAGGUGACCACAGCCGUCUGCGAACUUGGUCUUGCGGCAGAUGCCACAGGUGGGCGCGUCGUCCUUUGGUUGGGUUUGCUGACGCCGCGUCUCUGCCCCGAUGCGUCGUACCUCCUGCUUAUAGCUCUCAAACUGCUGGUGCAGUGUUCUGUGAGGAAAAGAAGGAAACAUUUUUCUACAGUCCGCGUUGGCCCUGUGAUGAAGUGGCGACUUGUCCAUGGUGUACCCCACCUUUUACCUGAAUGCAGCUGGGAUAAACUCCAGCACCUCGAGAGGGACAAGCGGUAGGAAAUGGAUGGUCGGCAGGAUUUUCUACAAAGUGUUUUGAUACAUUAUUUGCCCUCAUUAUGGGUGUGAAAUAGAUCUUAGCACGAUUCAGAACAGUUCUGCACACACAUUACGGGGACGGCAUGGCGCGGUUGGGAGAGUGGCCGUGCCAGCAACCUGAGGGUUCCUGGUUCAAUCCCCACCUUCUACCAACCUAGCCAUGUCCGUUGUGUUACCAUGAAUUGAUUAACGUGGACCCCAACUUAAGCACGUUAAAAAACUUAUUCGGGUGUUACCAUUUAGUGGUCAUUUGUACGGAAUAUGUACUGAACUGUGCAAUCUACUAAUAAAAGUCUAAACCAAUCAA